rnacentral:rRNA from 1 species
CCUACGGGGGACAGCAGUGAGGAUUAUUGGUCAAUGGACGAGAGUCUGAACCAGCCAAGUAGCGUGAAGGAUGACUGCCCUAUGGGUUGUAAACUUCUUUUAUAUGGGAAUAAAAUGUUCCACGUGUGGGAUUUUGUAUGUACCAUAUGAAUAAGGAUCGGCUAACUCCGUGCCAGCAGCCGCGGUAAUACGGAGGAUCCGAGCGUUAUCCGGAUUUAUUGGGUUUAAAGGGAGCGUAGGUGGAUUGUUAAGUCAGUUGUGAAAGUUUGCGGCUCAACCGUAAAAUUGCAGUUGAAACUGGCAGUCUUGAGUACAGUAGAGGUGGGCGGAAUUCGUGGUGUAGCGGUGAAAUGCUUAGAUAUCACGAAGAACUCCGAUUGCGAAGGCAGUUCACUGGACUGCAACUGACACUGAGGCUCGAAAGUGUGGGUAUCAAACAGGAUUAGAUACCCUUGUAGUC